rnacentral:rRNA from 1 species
GUGAACCUGCGUUUGGAUCAUUA